GAUAGAAUGUUUACUAUUACAACUUUUUUUGCAGAAUUUAAAUAUGUCUAUAACUAAAAUUUGAAAAACUAUCAGAGUUUCCCUUUAAUAUGUAAGAUUCUCAGGAGAAAAUGGAUUUAUAAGAUUCUGUGACACUUUGGUCUACUCCCAGCCUAAAUCUCCAUUAACCUAUCAAAAGCUUCAAAAUGGCAGAAUGGAUAGAUUUCUCUGAGGUACACUUUCAGAUUAAUUAAAAAAAUCUAGUUUUUAGACACUAGAUAUUUUUUUUUUAAAAUUAGACUUAAUAAGCAUAGUUUCUAGACACUAGAUUUAAGUCAAUUAUAUUAUUACAAUAUAUGUAUUGUAUUUUAGACUUAAUAAGCAUAGUUUCUAGACACUAGUCUUAAGUCAAUUAUAUUAUUACAAUGUGUAUAGUAUUUUAAUUAGACUUAAUAAGCAUAGUUUCUAGACACUAAACUUAAGUCUAUUAUAUUAUUACAAUAUGUAUUGUAAACCAAUUAACCAACGGCACUCUCCUCACAAUUUCUGAACAUUUUUUCACUAAAUCCUUAAAUCAAAUUGUACUGAAUUACUGUAAUAAUUAUUAAUAUUUAAAUUAUUUCAAUUUUAGGUUCCAAAGGAGAGGGAAUAUGAUUCAGCGUUUGAAUCUGAUGCUGAGGUUACUGCCAGAAAGUAAGCUUUUUAUCACAAAUAUAAAUAAGUUCUAUUUUAACAUGCUAGUUUUUAGAACACAGAGAUUAUGUCUCCAACAGGGAAGUCCUUUCCUGCAUUGACUCCCUAUCCCCAGUGUAGUGGUGACUGAAUGUCAAAUGAGAUUUGCAGGACAUAUGCAUACACAAGAUGAAACACAUUUACUAAAGUCAGCCAUAGCAUGGAAGCUGGAGAGAAGAAAGCAAAAACAAGGCCAUACACUUCUAACAUGGUAGCGCACCUUCUUAGAAGACCUAAAAUUUGUGGGUACCAGUUGGGAAGAGGUCUAUGACCGAUCUAUGUGGAGAGAACUAUCCCCCUUCCCAUGUGCUGAAAAAUGCAGAAAGACCUAAGUCUAAGUAAGUAAGGACAGAAGAUGUUCAGUGUUGGUGUCACUAUUUAACUUUACCAGAGCCACAUUUACCUUUAAAUAUAAAUAUUCUGAGUUAAGCUAAUCAAGAGCUAAGAAUAUGCACUUCUUAAAUGUUGAUGUAGUUAUGGGAUGCAGGG